GGGUCAAAAUGGGUAAUUUAUAGUAUGGGUCGCAGGUUGGAUAAUGGGUCAAAAUGGGAAAUUUCUUGUGCUAGUCAUGCUGGCACACAACACUUGUAUUUACUUUUCUAGAUUCAAUAAACAACUGAUGUUUUAUAUAACAUUUUGUGCAUUAUGAACACAAAACUGACCUGUUGAACCAACCUGUUUUCGUUUCAAGUAAGUUUACAUAUUAGCCAGCUCGAAUUGACCUAUAAGUACCUGUGGAGUGGAGCCGCGUAUGAUGCCUGGCUUUGAGUUACGUUGAGCUGCCCAAACCUCGAAAUCAACUAUAAAUAGGUGAACAAGCAAAUUCAAUAUGAUUGAAUCACAAAACACUUUUAAAAAUUUCUCAUGGGUACUAUUACAAUAAUAAUAAUCUAAUUCUUUGAAUAAAUAUAAUUACGAUAGUUGACUUCUGAAGGGGUACUUAAUGUUUUGACUUUUGACGGUAUACUUUAAAUUUCAUGUAAGAACGAAACGUAACACCCUCGGCAAAUCCUAAGAAUAACACCAACGUGAACGCCACUAAUUGUGGAUGAGAGAAGAAUUAAAGAGUUAAGUAUAUUUUGGUGAGAGCAACCUCAGGAUGGGUGAUUUCGUGGUAACUGGUAAGUUUAUGCUCAUGCAACCAAAAACAAAUUUUUGUGCUCAUAGUAGACAAAACAUACAAUAUUGAUUGGUAUGAAUGUCGAAUGUUACACGAAAAAAAAAUCAUUGACUACCUUUAAUAAGAUGUGGCCAUACAAGAAAAAAAAGGACAUAAAAACAUGAUGAACUCUGACUCAAGAAAGUAAUGAAUUUGACCAUAAAAGUGAUAAAGAAAAGGUUGCAUAUAUACCUGAUUUACUUGCAUAACCUUUAGAUGGCAAUAACAAGAGGCAAAUUAGGAGGAGAUGAGAUAGAAUGUGUAGCUUCUUCAUUUUGAAAAUGUAAUGGUUUCAAGUGUGAUGAAACUGAAGAUAGAAAUGGGACCUUGAUUUAGGUGUAUGAUGAUUAGACUCUUAAUAAGUUGUCUAGUAAUCAUAUUUGUGAUCCAAUGCUAAUCAUUUGUAUAUAGACCUGUUCACCAUUGGGUAAAAUUAUAAUCAAUAUUUUUUUUUGUUUUGCUUUAAAAAAGCUUAAAGAUUUACUCUAGUCUACCCAAAUGGAAACUUCCUAAAAGAUCAUUUAUCAUAUAGAGUUAAGUGUGGUCGAAACGGAUUAAUGCAUUUUCUUUAUUUUGGGUAGAGCUCGAUCAAUCAUUGUAAUCUGGGCACGCCAUUAUAAACUAUCCUGACUCACAGCUCAAAAUUACAUGACUCGUCGU
rnacentral:lncRNA from 1 species